ACGGGGGCUUCGGCCCCAGUGGCGAACGGUCGCGUAACACGUAAGCAACCUGCCCUGAAGUGGGGGACAACAUUCCGAAAGGGGUGCUAAUACCGCAUGUGGUCACGAGUCGGCAUCGACUUGUGUCUAAAGAUUUAUCGCUUCAGGAUGGGCUUGCGGCCUAUCAGGUAGUUGGUGGGGUAAUGGCCUACCAAGCCGACGACGGGUAGCUGGUCUGAGAGGACGAUCAGCCGGAUUGGGACUGAGAUACGGCCCAGACUCCUACGGGGGGCAGCAAUUAGGAAUCUUGCGCAAUGGGGGCAACCCUGACGCAGCGACGUCGCGUGAAGGAUGAAGGCCCUCGGGUCGUAAACUUCUUUUGAGUGGGAAGAAAUUUGACGGUACCACUCGAAUAAGCCCCGGCUAACUACGUGCCAGCAGCCGCGGUAAUACGUAGGGGGCGAGCGUUGUCC
rnacentral:rRNA from 1 species